rnacentral:rRNA from 1 species
AGGGUGCAGGGCGGAUGCCUUGGCACUAGGAGCCGAUGAAGGACGUGAUAAGCUGCGAUAAGCUUCGGGGAGUUGCACGUAAACUUUGAUCCGAAGAUUUCCGAAUGAGGAAACUCACUUAGAGUAAUGUCUAAGUAUCAUUAAGUGAAUACAUAGCUUAAUGAGGGGAACUCAGGGAACUGAAACAUCUAAGUACCUGAAGGAAGAGAAAGAAAUUCGAUUCCGUAAGUAGCGGCGAGCGAACGCGGAUUAGCCCAAACCAAUAAAGUUUUCUUUAUUGGGGUUGCGGACAUAUCAUAACGAAGAGGUAUCGUAAUUGAAGAGGUUUGGAAAGACCCACCACAGAAGGUAAUAGUCCUGUAUGUUAAACGAGAAGACUUUAGAUAUGAUCCAGAGUACCACGGGACACGUGAAACCCUGUGGGAAGCAGGAGGGACCACCCUCCAAGGCUAAAUACUACCUAGUGACCGAUAGCGUAUAGUACCGUGAGGGAAAGGUGAAAAGAACCCCGGGAGGGGAGUGAAAUAGAACCUGAAACCCUGCACUUACAAGCUGUGGAAGCACAUUUCUUGUGUGACCGCGUACUUUUUGUAGAACGGGCCAACGAGUUACGUUAAGUAGCAAGGUUAAGCACUUAAGGUGCGGAGCCGUAGCGAAAGCGAGUUUUAACUGAGCGUUCAGUUACUUGACGUAGACCCGAAACCGGGCGACCUACCCAUGAGCAGGAUGAAGCGAAAGUAAAAUUUCGUGGAGGUCCGAACCCACGAGCGUUGAAAAGCUCGGGGAUGACUUGUGGGUAGCGGUGAAAUUCCAAUCGAGCCCGGAGAUAGCUGGUUCUCCCCGAAAUAGCUUUAGGGCUAGCCUCAAGGUGAGAGAUACGGAGGUAGAGCACUGAAUGUCCUAGGGGGUAUUGCACCUACCGAAGACUAUCAAACUCCGAAUGCCGUCAUCUUAUACUUGGGAGUCAGACUGUGGGUGAUAAGAUUCAUAGUCGAAAGGGCAACAGCCCAGAUCGUCAGCUAAGGUCCCUAAAUGUAAGUUAAGUGGUAAAGGAUGUGGGAUUGCACAGACAACCAGGAUGUUGGCUUAGAAGCAGCCACUCAUUCAAAGAGUGCGUAAUAGCUCACUGGUCGAGUGAUCCUGCGCCGAAGAUUUCCGGGGCUAAAACUUACUACCGAAGCUACGGCAUCAGUAAUGAUGGGUAGGGGAGCUUCCCAUACGGGUUGAAGCAUGACCGUAAGGACAUGUGGACAGUAUGGGAGUGAGAAUGUUGGCAUGAGUAGCGAGAUGUGGGUGAGAAUCCCACAGGCCGUAAACCCAAGGUUUCCAGGGGAAGGUUCGUCCGCCCUGGGUUAGUCGGGACCUAAGCUGAGGCCGAAAGGCGUAGGUGAUGGACAACAGGUUGAUAUUCCUGUACUACCGAUAACCGUUUGAGAGAAGGGAUGACACAGUAGGAUAAGCUAAGCACACUGUUGGUUAUGUGUGCCCAAGCAUUGAGGCAGUCAAAGUAGGCAAAUCCGCUUUGAUAAUGCUGGGAUGUGAUGGGGAGCGAAAUUUAGUAGCGAAGUAGCUGAUUUCACACUGUCAAGAAAAGUCUCUAUCGAGGUUAAAGGUACCCGUACCGCAAACCGACACAGGUGGGUGAGGAGAGUAUCCUAAGGCCAGCGAGAGAACUGUUGUUAAGGAACUCGGCAAAAUGACCCCGUAACUUAGGGAUAAGGGGUGCCACCAUCAGGUGGCCGCAGAGAAUAGGCCCAAGCGACUGUUUACCAAAAACAUAGGUUUCUGCUAAGUCGCAAGACGAUGUAUAGGAGCUGACGCCUGCCCGGUGCUGGAAGGUUAAGGGGAUCUGUUAGAGCAAUCGAAGCAGUGAACUUAAGCCCCAGUAAACGGCGGCCGUAACUAUAACGGUCCUAAGGUAGCGAAAUUCCUUGUCGGGUAAGUUCCGACCCGCACGAAAGGCGUAACGAUUUGGGCACUGUCUCAACAACAGACUCGGUGAAAUUGUAAUUCCGGUGAAGAUGCCGGAUACCUGCGACAGGACGGAAAGACCCCAUGGAGCUUUACUGUAGCUUGACAUUGGGUCUUGGUACUACAUGUACAGGAUAGGUGGGAGGCUUUGAAACCAGGACGCCAGUUUUGGCGGAGCCAUCCUUGGGAUACCACCCUUGUAGUACUGGGACUCUAACCAUAGGCCAUGAAUCUGGUCUUGGGACACUGUCAGGUGGGCAGUUUGACUGGGGCGGUCGCCUCCCAAAAGGUAACGGAGGCGCUCAAAGGUUCUCUCAGUACGGUCGGAAAUCGUACGUAGAGUGUAAAGGCAAAAGAGAGCUUGAUUGCAAGACAUACAGGUCGAGCAAGGAUGAAAAUCGGACUUAGUGAUCCGGUGGUUCUGCGUGGAAGGGCCAUCGCUCAACGGAUAAAAGCUACCCUGGGGAUAACAGGCUUAUCUCCCCCAAGAGUCCACAUCGACGGGGAGGUUUGGCACCUCGAUGUCGGCUCAUCACAUCCUGGGGCUGUAGUAGGUCCCAAGGGUUGGGCUGUUCGCCCAUUAAAGUGGUACGCGAGCUGGGUUCAGAACGUCGUGAGACAGUUCGGUCCCUAUCCGUCGCAGGCGUAGGAAAUUUGAGAAGACCUGUCCUUAGUACGAGAGGACCGGGAUGGACGUACCUCUGGUGUACCAGUUGUCCUGCCAAGGGCAUGGCUGGGUAGCUAUGUACGGAAUGGAUAAGCGCUGAAAGCAUCUAAGCGCGAAGCCAACUUCAAGAUAAGAUUUCCCACCGCAAGGGUAAGACCCCAGAAAGACUAUCUGGUUGAUAUCGAAGGUGUAAGUGCAGCAAUGUAUUUAGCUUAUCGAUACUAAUAGGUCGAGGACUUGACC